rnacentral:rRNA from 1 species
GACGAACCGUGCGAACGUUGUUCGGAAUCACUGGGCUUAAAGGGCGCGUAGGCGGGCAUGCCAGUCAGGGGUGAAAGCCCACGGCUCAACCGUGGAAGUGCCUUUGAUACUGCGUGUCUGGAGGGAGGUAGUGGCGUGCGGAACUUCCGGUGGAGCGGUGGAAUGCGUAGAUAUCGGAAGAACACCAGUGGCGAAGGCGACUUACUGGACUGAAACUGACACUGAGGCACGAAAGCGUGGGGAGCAAACAGG